GUAGUCCACGCAGUAAACGAUGAUAGCUCGUUAUCGGCGAUACACAGUCGGUGACUUAGAGAAAUCGAUAAGCUAUCCACCUGGGGAGUACGUUCGCAAGAAUGAAACUCAAAGGAAUUGACGGGGGCCCGCACAAGCGGAGGAACAUGUGGUUUAAUUCGAUGAUACGCGAGGAACCUUACCCGGGCUUGAAAGUUAGUGACGGAUCAGGAAACUGAUCUUCCCUUCGGGGCACGAAACUAGGUGCUGCAUGGUUGUCGUCAGCUCGUGCCGUGAGGUGUCGGGUUAAGUCCCAUAACGAGCGCAACCCCUGCUGAUAGUUGCCAUCAGGUUAAGCUGGGCACUCUAUCGGGACUGCCUCUGUAAGGAGGAGGAGGGUGGGGAUGACGUCAAAUCAGCACGGCCCUUACGUCCGGGGCGACACACGUGUUACAAUGGUAGGUACAGAGGGCAGCCACCCAGCGAUGGGGAGCAAAUCUCGAAAGCCUAUCUCAGUUCGGAUUGGAGGCUGAAACUCGCCUCCAUGAAGUUGGAUUCGCUAGUAAUCGCGC
rnacentral:rRNA from 1 species